rnacentral:rRNA from 1 species
CAAGUCGAGCGGACAGAUGGGAGCUUGCUCCCUGAUGUUAGCGGCGGACGGGUGAGUAACACGUGGGUAACCUGCCUGUAAGACUGGGAUAACUCCGGGAAACCGGGGCUAAUACCGGAUGCUUGUUUGAACCGCAUGGUUCAAACAUAAAAGGUGGCUUCGGCUACCACUUACAGAUGGACCCGCGGCGCAUUAGCUAGUUGGUGAGGUAACGGCUCACCAAGGCGACGAUGCGUAGCCGACCUGAGAGGGUGAUCGGCCACACUGGGACUGAGACACGGCCCAGACUCCUACGGGAGGCAGCAGUAGGGAAUCUUCCGCAAUGGACGAAAGUCUGACGGAGCAACGCCGCGUGAGUGAUGAAGGUUUUCGGAUCGUAAAGCUCUGUUGUUAGGGAAGAACAAGUGCCGUUCAAAUAGGGCGGCACCUUGACGGUACCUAACCAGAAAGCCACGGCUAACUACGUGCCAGCAGCCGCGGUAAUACGUAGGUGGCAAGCGUUGUCCGGAAUUAUUGGGCGUAAAGGGCUCGCAGGCGGUUUCUUAAGUCUGAUGUGAAAGCCCCCGGCUCAACCGGGGAGGGUCAUUGGAAACUGGGGAACUUGAGUGCAGAAGAGGAGAGUGGAAUUCCACGUGUAGCGGUGAAAUGCGUAGAGAUGUGGAGGAACACCAGUGGCGAA